AAAUGCUUCCAAGUACCUCCAAGAGCUCCAAAGGACACUCCAACACCUGAUAAAGACUUAUGCAAUGCAAAAAGGAAACUAAAUUGCAUAAUCCAUAAUCUAAAUGAUCAAAACAUGCAAGAAUGAAGAGUUAAAACAAUGCAAAUGUGCAAGAUAUCAACUUCCCCAAACUUGUCUUUUACUUGUCCACAAGUGAACUUUCAAGAGCUCAUAGGAGAAGAGGUUUGAAGGUGGGAGCUCAUAGCCACAAGAAACACUUCCUAGCACUCAAUUUAACAUCCUAAAGAAAUAUAGCAAAU
rnacentral:lncRNA from 1 species